UUUAUGGAGAGUUUGAUCCUGGCUCAGGAUGAACGCUGGCGGCGUGCCUAAUACAUGCAAGUCGAGCGAACGGACGAGAAGCUUGCUUCUCUGAUGUUAGCGGCGGACGGGUGAGUAACACGUGGAUAACCUACCUAUAAGACUGGGAUAACUUCGGGAAACCGGAGCUAAUACCGGAUAAUAUUUUGAACCGCAUGGUUCAAAAGUGAAAGACGGUCUUGCUGUCACUUAUAGAUGGAUCCGCGCUGCAUUAGCUAGUUGGUAAGGUAACGGCUUACCAAGGCAACGAUGCAUAGCCGACCUGAGAGGGUGAUCGGCCACACUGGAACUGAGACACGGUCCAGACUCCUACGGGAGGCAGCAGUAGGGAAUCUUCCGCAAUGGGCGAAAGCCUGACGGAGCAACGCCGCGUGAGUGAUGAAGGUCUUCGGAUCGUAAAACUCUGUUAUUAGGGAAGAACAUAUGUGUAAGUAACUGUGCACAUCUUGACGGUACCUAAUCAGAAAGCCACGGCUAACUACGUGCCAGCAGCCGCGGUAAUACGUAGGUGGCAAGCGUUAUCCGGAAUUAUUGGGCGUAAAGCGCGCGUAGGCGGUUUUUUAAGUCUGAUGUGAAAGCCCACGGCUCAACCGUGGAGGGUCAUUGGAAACUGGAAAACUUGAGUGCAGAAGAGGAAAGUGGAAUUCCAUGUGUAGCGGUGAAAUGCGCAGAGAUAUGGAGGAACACCAGUGGCGAAGGCGACUUUCUGGUCUGUAACUGACGCUGAUGUGCGAAAGCGUGGGGAUCAAACAGGAUUAGAUACCCUGGUAGUCCACGCCGUAAACGAUGAGUGCUAAGUGUUAGGGGGUUUCCGCCCCUUAGUGCUGCAGCUAACGCAUUAAGCACUCCGCCUGGGGAGUACGACCGCAAGGUUGAAACUCAAAGGAAUUGACGGGGACCCGCACAAGCGGUGGAGCAUGUGGUUUAAUUCGAAGCAACGCGAAGAACCUUACCAAAUCUUGACAUCCUUUGACAACUCUAGAGAUAGAGCCUUCCCCUUCGGGGGACAAAGUGACAGGUGGUGCAUGGUUGUCGUCAGCUCGUGUCGUGAGAUGUUGGGUUAAGUCCCGCAACGAGCGCAACCCUUAAGCUUAGUUGCCAUCAUUAAGUUGGGCACUCUAAGUUGACUGCCGGUGACAAACCGGAGGAAGGUGGGGAUGACGUCAAAUCAUCAUGCCCCUUAUGAUUUGGGCUACACACGUGCUACAAUGGACAAUACAAAGGGUAGCGAAACCGCGAGGUCAAGCAAAUCCAAUAAAGUUGUUCUCAGUUCGGAUUGUAGUCUGCAACUCGACUACAUGAAGCUGGAAUCGCUAGUAAUCGUAGAUCAGCAUGCUACGGUGAAUACGUUCCCGGGUCUUGUACACACCGCCCGUCACACCACGAGAGUUUGUAACACCCGAAGCCGGUGGAGUAACCUUUUAGGAGCUAGCCGUCGAAGGUGGGACAAAUGAUUGGGGUGAAGUCGUAACAAGGUAGCCGUAUCGGAAGGUGCGGCUGGAUCACCUCCUUUCU
rnacentral:rRNA from 1 species